AUUGAACGCUGGCGGCAUGCUUUACACAUGCAAGUCGAACGGUAACAGGCCGCAAGGUGCUGACGAGUGGCGAACGGGUGAGUAAUGCAUCGGAACGUGCCCAGUCGUGGGGGAUAACGCAGCGAAAGCUGUGCUAAUACCGCAUACGAUCUAUGGAUGAAAGCGGGGGACCGUAAGGCCUCGAGCGAUUGGAGCGGCCGAUGUCAGAUUAGGUAGUUGGUGGGGUAAAGGCCUACCAAGCCGACGAUCUGUAGCUGGUCUGAGAGGACGACCAGCCACACUGGGACUGAGACACGGCCCAGACUCCUCCGGGAGGCAGCAGUGGGAAUUUUGGACAAUGGGCGCAAGCCUGAUCCAGCAAUGCCGCGUGCAGGAAGAAGGCCUUCGGGUUGUAAACUGCUUUUGUACGGAACGAAACGGUCCUGGUUAAUACCUGGGGCUAAUGACGGUACCGUAAGAAUAAGCACCGGCUAACUACGUGCCAGCAGCCGCCGCCGUAA
rnacentral:rRNA from 1 species